GGGCCGCUGGUCUAGUGGUAUGAUUCUCGCUUAGGGUCCACCCUUAGUUGUCUGCGAGAGGUCCCGGGUUCAAUCCCCGGGUGGCCCC